rnacentral:lncRNA from 1 species
GUUGAGUUAGCUGCAGAGGAGGUUGAGGCAUCAAUGCAACAAUCUCAUCAUCUUUAAAGAUGGUAAAACAGAAAUAAAAUUUUUGAAGUAAAACAAUCUCUGAAAAAAAAAUAUUAAGUAAAUAAUGAAAAUUGAUUAAAAACAACAAGAAAAUGCCAUGCAGAAUUGGGUUUGAUGAUCCAUUUAUGCUUGGGUUGGAGAGGAGUGGUGACUUUUCUACUUUUAUUUUUUUGAAAUAUAAUAACCACUAGCAUGUUCUCUGUCUGUGGUUUAUUCAUGGUUGCAUCAAAUUAAAUCAAUCACCUUGUCUAAUCUUGUGACUGUGAAUGGUAGCUCCCAUGGCUGCAACCGGUGUGGCAGUGCAUUUAUAUUGGAAUGGAACAGCGAAGACCGAGAAAUACGAUGUUGUUUAUGAAGGUGAUGCCUAUUAAGCUCAACUAUGGAACUACGUAUGCUGGAUUGUUGGAUAAAAUCUACGCAACUACGGGCAUUAAGAGGAAGGAUUUUGAGUUGAACAUCAUAUGCAGAUAUCCUAUAUCUUCAAGGGAAUAUAAGCCCAUCCCAAUAAAGAAUGACGAGGCCGUAGAACUUAUGUUGGAAGUUCCAUGCAGAUCAUCUAGAGUCUACUGUGUAGAGAUAUAUUUGGAGAAAGAAGCAAGGCAAUGUGUGAAAAUCACGUUUCCGUGUUGAUCUCUGGACUGAUCUGCUCUCGACAUUGUAAUUUUAUUGUGUUGAAUUGGCUUCUAUAUCAAAUCAGUGAGUGUUAAGGGCUUGAAUUAAGUUUGGUAUGGCAUGAUAAUAUGUGAUCUAGUUUGCAUAAUUCUAAGGAAAAUGCAUAAUUCUAAAAUUUAUUUUUAUUUUUUUCUCUAUCUUGUAUAUGAAUAACCAAAUUCUAGAAAAAUUUUAUGAUUUUUGUUUAUUUUUUCUUUCUUUCUAUAAUUUUUAUUUUUUAUUUUUGUUCCCUCAUACCAUCUAGGAAUCAAAUGUAGUCUUUACAUGUCCACAGUUUAAUUAAGGAUUUAAAAAUAUAUAGAAUUUACAGUAGUGAAAAAAUUAAAAACCAUCCCGUGAAUGUUUAUCAUGCACCUCAUAUAUACAUAUCAUAUCCCAUAAUUACAUGUAAUCACAUUCACUAAUAAUAAUGUGUAAUCUAAUGCAUUAAAAAUAUUUAAACAUAAAUGUCAUAUAUGGAAAAUAUAUGUAAAUAAGUUCAAAAUUUUAUUAUUAAUUAAUUCCAUAAAGGUGUGGGGUAGAAUCCUUAGUUUAUCCUCUAAUUGAUCAAUAUACAAAAUAAAAUAACAUGACUUAGAAAAUUCACAUUAUCAUGUCUAAGUUUCUGAAAAUUUUGAAAAGAAUAGCUUAUGAACUAGCCAUUAUUAGUGCAUUCAUUCAUGAGGAUGAUCUAAAUAUUCAAGCACUUUGUGGGCUAGGCCCUAACUUCAAAGAUAUCUUCAUGCAUCCAUACACAAGGAUGAUCACCUAAGUGUAUCAUCUUGAGUGAUCCUAAAGAUAUGUGAUCAUGAAAUCUAAAGCCAUAAUAAUUUCUUAAGUGAAAUUUGACAUAUGCUCUUAUGAGUUAGAUCGAGUAUAUCGAUUGAUAACAUAGUAGGGGGAUUUGUAACUCAAGGAUUGAAAAGAUAAUCUUAAAAAGUUGAUAACAUAUAUUUCUUUAAAUUACACAUCAGUUUGUAGAGUUUGCAACGGUGGAUAGUAAAUCAUAAACUUAAGUUAUAUCUCAUUGUAAUUUCAUAGGAUAUUGGAAUGUAGUUGACUUUUUGUAGUAAGAUGUUGAAUCAACCUUAAAAUUGGAUUACGAGGGAACUGGUAUUUUUCUUGGUCCUAUUGGUUCCCAUUCAAGCUCUUAAUUCAUGGUGACACAAUUUUGAGGGUAUUUUUAAGUUUCUAAUUCAUAUGUAUGCAUAAGAGUAUUUUAAUAAAAAUAAAAAAUUGCACUUGAUCAUAUGAACGAUCCUUUUGGACUGUACUAAUUGAUUAGAGCCCAAUAGAGUUUGUUAAUUAAUUAGGACCUAAGUUGGCUAAAUAAGUAAGUUAAGUCCAAGCUAGACUCAAGUUACUUAAGCUCACAAGGAAGCCUACAUAAACCUCUUAAAGCUCCACUUUUGCACUCGUCUUUUAGAAUUCAAAGAUAAACCCCCAACCUCCCCCUCUAGAGAGAAGAUUUCCCUUUUCUGGUGUCUAGAUCAAUGAGAGUGAUAGGGCAAAAGGUUGCUUAGUUGGUGAGGCUUGCGAUUCACUCUACUUAACUUCAUCGAAUUGGAAUUGAUUUGGGAAUACCUAAAUCAUGUGUAUGAUCUCUCUUUUGUUUAGAUCUAUAUUAUUUAUGGUUUCAUUGCCAUGUUUUUUUUUUUGCUCCAAUUAGAUCUAGAGAACCCUAAGACUAGUAACAUGCAACUUGAAUGAUCUGGGGUUUGAAAUGGAGAGAUUCAAGGAUUCCCAAUAAUAAAGGUAUAAUUUUCUGCUUCUGUGUUGGAGCAUGAAACAAUGGGUUGUUUCUUGGAUUAUCAUGAUAUGUAGUUGCAACUAAAAGAUAUACAAUAUCCCAUUGCACUUAUUCUUGUGGUUAGACAACUAGCCUAGUCUACAUCGCAAAAACUAGGUAAUGUUAGUGCACUUUGAGCAGGAAAUUGUAAGCUAAAAGUUAAUGAGCCUUUGAGAUAAAUUAGCCACCAUCCCAUCACGUGCUAGUCAAGGAGGUAUCCCAUGUCCACAGUCUGCACCACCGUCUCUCGUACUGAUUCAUCUCCACCCAUCUUCAUCCAUGGCUAAGCAUUCUUCCAAAUAUAUAGUACCGGCCUAUUAUUGAUUUGGGUUGAAUUAUAUUAAUAUUGGGCCUCAAUAUUGUUUUUGAGUUUUGAAAAUAUUGGACUUGGGUUUAGUCUUGCACAAUUAUCUACUUGGUUUUAUUUGGAACUUUAGGUUAUGAUACUCAGCUAUAAUUUUUGGCUUUCUUGCUUCGGCCUAGUAUUUUGAGAAGUCGAGUUUGGGCAUGUUUUCUUAGACUGUAUUGACUUCUAUUGGGCUAUACCUUGUUUUAUUUUGCAUGGGUGUUGUUCAUUGGUUGAGGUCGUUAUUGGAGGGAGCUAUGAUGUGCACCACGUGUAGGGCUAGAUUUCAUGGAAGAAAGGAAUGUUCGGGAAGCUGUAGUUAAGGGCAUGGAACCCUAGGCAGCUAAGGGGAGGGGAGGACAACUCACCUACUCUAGGAUUUUCGCUAAGACUUUUACAAGGUGCCCUUUUUUUUUUUUUUUUUUUUCAGAAAAUGAUUUUGAAGAAAAAGGAUCCAAAAACUGGUUUUAAUAAACACUAGAAAAUUAUUUUUCAUUAAGAACAAUCCAGGACAUUAUUUUUUGAAUAAAAACAGUACAAUUUUUUUAUUAAAUAAAAAUAUUUUAGAAAAUAUUUUUAUUAAUAAAAAAUAUUCCAUAUAUAUAUUCUUUUAAAAGGUUCAAAAAUCAUUUUUCAAAUAAAUGUAAAGUUCCAAAAAAAUCAUCUUAGAAAGUUCUAAAAAAAUAUGUUUUUUUUUAAGUUAAAAAAUUGUUUUUUUUUAAAGUUAAAAAAAUUGAUUUUAAUAAAAUUUCAUAAAAAUCCAAAAAUUUGUUUUUAAUAAACUGUCCAGAAAUUUUUUUUAUAUAUAUAAUAAAAAUGUCCAAAUUUUUUUUAUCUAAUAAAAAAAUAAUUUUGGUAAAUAAAAAAAAAAUUUGAAGUUUCUUUUGUAAAUAAUUUUGAAAUGUCUUUGCCCCUAUUAAAAAUCUUUUUUACUAAUAAAAUUGAGUUGAGCAUAUUUUUUGUAUAAAAUUUGUAAAAAAAUCAUCUUCCCGAUAAAAUUGAAUUGAAAUCUUCUUUUAUAAUUAAGGGAAAAUCAUCAAACCAUACACCAAUUACAAAAAAUAUGAGAAUUUGGAACUUCACUUUUUUCUUUUUAAUUUUGGUGUAAAAUGGGAAAAAAUAUUGUCUAUUCAUGCACUCCAAUAGUGCUUUCAAAUUUAUUCCACAAUUACCCUCAAAAGUAAAGGACAAAGUACACACCAAUUUAAUACCACAUGUUAACAAGUACAUGUAUCAUUUAUUUUUUUAUUAUUUUUCUCAAAUCAAUAAAUAUCCCUUGCCACUUGUCACGUUUCCACUUUUUACUUUUUUCUUCUUUUUUUCCUAUUCUACCAUCAUAAUCCAUUGUCACCUAUUAUAAGUUUUAUUAUUAUUUUUCUUUUCUUUUUUCCUUUAUAUUCUUUUUAACAUGCUCGUGCAUUUUCUCAUAAAACUUCUUUAAUUUUAAUUUAUUUUUACUCUCUAAGUUAUCUAUAUUUAUUGAUUUUAAUUAUUUUUUUAACAUAUUAAACUUAAAAUGAUAAUAUAUAAUAAAUAAUUAAUAUAACAAAUUAAAUAAAAACAAAAUAUAUAAUGGACAAAAAUGAAAAUAUUAUCCCACAAAUAAUAAUGAUUUUAAAUAUUAAUUAUAAUAAUACAUUUUAUAAAUUAAGGUUUAAAUUUAAAAAUUCCAUUUUAUUAUUUAGAACUUUAUGAUAUAAGACUUUUUAUAUUAAUACUAAACAAAAGAUUUAUUUAUUUCGUAAAUUCUAUCACAUGUAAAAGUAAAAAUAUCAUUGCAAUACUAUUUUAUUAUUUACAUUAUUUUUCUUUUAAUUUUUAUUUUAAAUUUAUCAUAUAAAAAUCACAAUAAGUGAUGAUGCUUUUAUCAUUUUUCUUAUGAUUUUAAAUUGAUUGUGGAUCUAACUUUUUUUGGGUUAAAAUCUUUAAUUUUUAAUUAAAAUAAAAUAUAAAAGAAAAUCUAUUUUUCAUAAAAAAAUUGUAUUUAACCUUUUAUAUUAAUCUCAUAAAAAAUAGGUACAUCCUUAAAAAAAAAAAAGGUAAAUUAAUGCUUAGGAGAACCGGAAACACUAUCAUACUUAUCAUGAUGUAUAUAUUCCUUUGGGACCCUCGAUAAGUAAUUGGAGGUAUUUGCCCACCCCAAAAAGAACUUUGGGAUCCUAGGUAUAUCCAUUCUUAGAAGAACCAAGACCUCUAUUUUCAUUUUCAUGGUUCAUAUAUUCUUUUGGGGACCCUUGAAAAAGAAUUAGAGGUUAUUCCCCACCCUAAAACGGACAUUGGAACCCAAGGUACAUCUUAAAAACAAUUUGGUAUAUCAUUUAUAAAAUUUGGUACAUAUUUUAUAAAAUUUGGCACAUCCUUAAAACAAUUUUGUACAUCCAAUCCAUGAGCUACCAAGACCUCUAUAUUAUUAACCGUGGUUCGUUUUAUUUCUUUAGGGAUCUUUAGGAAGUAAUUAGAGGUCGUUCCCUACUCCAAAACGAACUUUGGAACUCUAGGUACAUCCUUAAGUAAAUUUGGUGCAUCGUUAAGAAAUUUUGGUAUAUCAAAUCCUCGGGCUAUCGAGACCCUUAUCUAUCUUCCCAUGGUCCAUAUUAUCCGUUGAGGACCAUUAGGCAGUGAUUGAAGGUCAUUCCCCACAUCGGAACGAACUUUGGCACUUUUGGUACAUCCUUUAAAAAAUUUGGUUCAUCCUUAAAAAUAUUUGGUACAUACUUGAGCUAUUGAAACCUCUAUCUUAUUACCCAUGGUCCGUUUAUUCCUUUAGGGAUCUUUGGGAAGUGAUUGGAGAUCGUUCCUUACUCCGAAAUGGACUUUGGAACCCUAGGUACAUAAUUGAGAAAAUUUGAUACAUCCAAUCCUUGAGCUAACGGAACACUUAUCUCCAUUUCCAUAGUCCAUUUUUUCCUUUGGAGACCCUCAAGAAGUUAUUGAAGGUCGUUUCCCACCUCAUAACAGACUUUGGCAACAUUGGUAUAUCAUUUACAAAAUUUGGUACAUCAUUUAUAAAAUUUGGUACAUCCUUCACAAAAUUUGGUACAUUAUGAAGGAUAAACCAAAUUUUGGGCAUGAUGUACCAAGGGUUCCAAAGUGCAUUCCGAGGUGGGGAUCGACUCUCAAUCACUUUCUUAUGGGUUUCUAAAUGAAAUUAUGGACAAUCUAUGUUCAGAUAGGGUUCUCAAAAGCGAUGGGAUCGAAUGUACCAAAUUUAAUGAAGGAUGUACCAAGCAUUCCAAGGUAGGGAUCAACCCCCAAUCACAUCCUUAUGGGUUCCAAAAUGAAAUCAUGGACCAUUCAUGUUCAGAUGGGGGUCCCGAAAACAAUAGGAUCGGAUAUACCAAAUUUAAUAAAGAAUGUAUCAAAUUUUGUGCAGGAUGUACCAACGGUUCCAAAGUACGUUCCGAGGUGGGGAUCGGCCCCCAAUCACUUCCUUAUGGGUUCCAAAAUGAAAUCAUGGACCAUCCAUGUUCAGAUGGGGGAGCCAGAAGCAAUAGGAUCGGAUGUACCAAAUUUUGUGAAGAAUGUAUCAAGGGUUCCAAAGUGCGUUUUGAGGUGGGGAUCAACCCCCAAUCACUUUCUUAUGGGUUUCUAAAUGAAAUUAUGGAUCAUCCAUGUUUAAAUGGGGGUCUCGGAAGCGAUAGGAUCAAAUGUACCAAAUUUUGUGAAUGAUGUACCAAGGGUUCCAAAGUGCGUUUCGAGGUGGGGAUCGACCCCCAAAUAAUUUCUUGUGGGUUCUAAAAUGAAAUUAUGUACGAUCCAUGUCCGAAUGGGGAUCCCGUAAACGAUAGGAUCGGAUGUACCAAAUUUAAUAAAGGAUGUAUCAAAUUUAAUGAAGGAUGUACCAAAUUUUGUGAAGAAUGUACGAAGGGUUCCAAAUUGCAUUCCGAGGUGGGGAUCGACCCCCAAUCACUUUCUUAUGGGUUUUCAAAUGAAAUUAUGGACCAUCGAUGUUCAGAUGGGGGUACCGAAAGUGACAGGAUCAGAUGUACCAAAUUUAAUGAAGGAUAUACCAAAUUUUGUGAAAGAUGUACCAAAUUUUGUGAAUGAUGUACCAAGGGUUCCAAAGUGUGUUCCGAGGUGGGGAUCGGCCCCAAAUAACUCUCUUAUGGGUUUCUAAAUGAAAUUAUGGACCAUCCAUGUUCAGAUGGGGGUCCCGGAAGCGAUAGGAUCGAAUGUACCAAAUUUUGUGAAGGAUGUACCAAGGGUUCGAAAAUGCGUUCCGAGGUGGGGAUCGACCCCCAAACACUUCCUUAUUGGUUCCAAAAUGAAAUUAUGAACUAUCCUUAUUCAGAUGGGGGUCCCAGAAGCGAUAGGAUCGGAUGUACCAAAUUUAAUGAAGGAUAUACCAAAUUUUGUGAAGAAUGUACCAAGGGUUCCAAAGUGCGUUUCGAGGUGGGGAUUGACCCCCAAUAGCUUUCUUAUGGGUUUUUAAAUGAAAUUAUGGACCAUCCAUGUUCACAUGGGGGUCCCGAAAGCGAUAGGAUCGCAUGUACUAAAUUUUGUGAAUGAUGUACCAAGGGUUCUAAAGUGCGUUUUGAGGUGGGGAUCGACCCCCAAACACUUCCUUAUGGGUUCCAAAAUGAAAUUAUGUACCAUCCAUGUUCAACUGGGGUCCCAGAAGCGAUAGGAUCAGAUGUACCAAAUUUAAUGAAGGAUGUACCAAAUUUAAUGAAUGAUGUACGAAAUUUUGUGAAGGAUGUACGAAGGGUUCCAAAUUGCGUUCCGAGGUGGGGAUCGACCCCCAAUCACUUUCUUAUGGGUUUCUAAAUGAAAUUAUGCACCAUUGAUGUUCAGAUGGGGGUUUCGAAAGCGACAGGAUUAGAUGUACCAAAUUUAAUGAAGGAUGUACCAAAUUUUGUGAAAGAUGUACCAAAUUUUGUGAAUGAUGUACCAAGGGUUCCAAAUUGUGUUAUGAGGUGGGAAUCGACCCCAAAUAACUUUCUUAUGGGUUUCUAAAUGAAAUUAUGGACCAUCCAUAUUCAGAUAGGGGUCCCAGAAGCGAUAGGAUCGAAUGUACCAAAUUUUGUGAAGGAUGUACCAAGAGUUCAAAAAUGCGUUCCGAGGUGGGGAUCGGCCCCCAAACACUUCUUUAUUGGUUCCAAAAUGAAAUUAUGGACUAUCCAUAUUCAAAUGGGGGUCUCAGAAGCGAUAGGAUCGAAUGUACCAAAUUUAAUGAAGGAUGUACCAAAUUUAAUUAAGGAUGUACCAAAUUUUGUGAAGGAUGUACCAAGGGUUCCAAAGUGCAUUUCGAGGUAGGGAUCAACCCCCAAUAGCUUUCUCAUGGGUUGCUAAAUGAAAUUAUGGACCAUCCAUAUUCAGAUGGUGGUCCCAGAAGCGAUAGGAUCGGAUGUACCAAAUUUGUGAAUGAUGUACCAAGGGUUCCAAAAUGCGUUCCGAAGUGGGGAUCGGCCCCCAAUCACUUUCUUAUGGGUUUCUAAAUGAAAUUAUGGACCAUCGAUGUUCAAAUGGGGGUCCUGGAAGCGACAGGAUCGGAUGUACCAAAUUUUGUGAAUGAUGUACCGAAGGUUCCAAAGUGCGUUAUGAGGUGAGGAUCGACCUCCAAUCACUUUUUUAUGGGUUUUUAAAUGAAAUUAUGGACAAUCCUUGUUGAGAUGGGGGUCCCAGAAGCAAUAGGAUCAGAUGUACCAAAUUUAAUGAAGAUUGUAUCAAAUUUAAUUAAUGAUGUACCAAAUUUUGUAAAGGAUGUACCAAAGGGGCCAAUGUCCGUUCCGAAGUAGGGAACGAUCUCUAAUCACUUUCUAAGGUUGUCCAAAGAAAUAAAUGAAACAUAAGAAGGAUGUUAGGUGUGUUGUUAGCUCGAGGAUUGGAUGUAUCAAAUUUUCUUAAGAAUGUAUCUAGGGUUUCAAAGUCUAUUUCAGAGUAGGAAACAACCUCCAAUCACUUUCCAAAGAUCCUUUAAGGAAUUAAUGGACCAUGGGUAAUAAGAUAGGGGUCCUGGUAGCUCAAGGAUUAGAUGUACCAAUUUUUUGGUAUAGAGAUUCAAUUGGUACCAUUUUAUAAUACAUAUUGAAAUUUAUGUGAAUGAAACAAAAUAUACUAGCUAGUUUCCUGUAAUGAGGUAAAUAAAAAAAGUAGUUAAAAAUAAAAAAAAUAUAAAUAAAAUAAUAAUAUAGAUUUAAAAUAAAAAAAUUUAAAAAUGAACAAUUUUUUUUAAAUGAUAAAUAUUUUAAAAAAAAAAUCUAUGAUUUUAAAUCAACAAGCAAUCAUUUCCAUUGCUUAUUUCAUAUGAAUGUCAAGGGCCAACCUUUCAAGCUAUCAACAUGCCUCCAUUUGCCUUACUACCCAACCCACACUUCAAAUCUAGUCAUCCUAAAGGCAUGCCUCUGACAAAGAGUCAUGCCUAUAUUUUUUCCUACUGCACAUAACUUAACAAAAAUAAGUUUUUCACCCACAUUCAUGCAUCUUCCAUGAAGCUUGUGCUCUUGACUAGUGCACAUAGCCUACCGAUAUAAUGGUUUCAGCAAUAGGCAUGCCUCUAAAAUCAAGGGUGUGCCCCUAGUUUGCAUACUGCAUAUAGUACACCAAAAUAAUGUUAUCAUGCCCAUGGGCAUGCCAAUGCAACGAAGGGUGCACCCCUACUUUACUUUCUGCAUGUGGCAUAGUAAUAUAAUGUCAUUUACAGGCAUGCCUUUCAAAUGGAAGGUGCGCCCCUAGAUUGUCUUCUACACAUAACAUACCAAACUAAUGUUAUUGUACAAAGAAAAUUCCAUUGAAUCUAAGGGUACAAUGUAAAUGUUCGAAUGCCUUCCGAAGGUGUUAAUGGGCCAACCUCCCUUUUACUGACUUCUCACAUAAUAUGAAUCAAUCCCCACCUUAACAAUUUGGCACAUCCUUCACAAAAUUUGGUACACCCGAUCCUAUCGCUUCCGGGACCCCCAUUCGAACAUGGAUAGUACAAAAUUUCAUUUUGGAACCCAUAAGGAAGUGUUUGGGGGCCGAUCCUCACCUCAAAACACACUUUGGAACCCUUGGUACAUCAUUUACAAAAUUUGGUACAUCCUUCACAAAAUUUGGUAACAUCCUUCAUUAAAUUUGGUACAUCCGAUCCUAUCGCUUCCGGGAUCCCCAUCUGAACAUGAAUGGUCCACAAUUUCAUUUAGAAACCCAUAAGAAAGUGAUUUGGGGCCGAUCCCCACCUCGAAACACACUUUGGAACCCUUGGUACAUCAUUCACAAAAUUUGGUACAUCCUUCAUUAAAUUUGGUACAUCCUAUCCUGUCACUUCCAAAACCUCCAUCUGAACAUCGAUGGUCCAUAAUUUCAUUUAGAAACCCAUAAGAAAGUGAUUGAGGGCCGAUCCCCACCUCGGAACGCAAUUUGGAACCCUUGGUACAUCCUUCACAAAAUUUGGUACAUCCUUCAUUAAAUUUGGUACAUCCUUUAUUAAAUUUGGUACAUCCCAUCCUAUCACUUUCGGGACCCCCAUUCNAACAUGGAUGGUACAUAAUUUCAUUUUGGAACCCCUAACGAAAUAUUUGGGGGUCCAUCCCUACCUCGAAACAGCACUUUGGAACCCUUGGUANNNNNNNNNNNNNNNNNNNNNNNNNNNNNNNNNNNNNNNNNNNNNNNNNNNNNNNNNNNNNNNNNNNNNNNNNNNNNNNNNNNNNNNNNNNNNNNNNNNNUGGAACCUUUGGGACAUCCUUCACAAAAUUUGGGUACAUCCUUCAUUAAAUUUGGUACCAUCCUUUAUUAAAUUUGGUACAUCCGAUCCUAUCACUUUCAGGACCCCCAUUUGAACUAUGGAUGGUACAUAAUUUCAUUUUGGAACCCAUAAGGAAGUAUUUGGGGGUCGAUCCCUACCUCGAAACGCACUUUGGAACCCUUGGUACAUCAUUCACAAAAUUUGGUACAUCCGAUCCUAUCGCUUCUGGGACCACUAUCUGAACAUGGAUGGUUCAUAAUUUCAUUUAGAAACCCAUGAGAAAGCUAUUGGGGGUCGAUCCCCACCUUGACGCACACUUUAGAACCCUUGAUACAUUCUUCACAAAAUUUGGUAUAUCCUUCACAAAAUUUGGUACAUCCUUCAUUAAAUUUGGUACAUUCAAUCCUAUUGCUUCCGGGAUCCCCAUUUGAACAUGAAUGGUCCAUAAUUUCAUUUAGAAACCCAUAAGAAAGUGAUUUGGGGUCGAUCCCCAUCUCGGAACACACUUUGGAACCCUUGGUAUAUCAUUCACAAAAUUUGGUACAUCCUUCACAAAAUUUGGUACAUCCUUCAUUAAAUUUGGUACAUCUGAUCCUGUUACUUCCAGAACCCCCAUCUGAACAUUGAUGGUCCAUAAUUUCAUUUAGAAACCCAUAAGAAAGUGAUUGAGGGUCAAUCCCCACCUCGGAACGCAAUUUGGAACCCUUCGUACAUCCUUCACAAAAUUUGGUACAUCCUUCAUUAAAUUUGGUACAUCCAAUCCUAUCACUUUCGGGACCCCCAUUCGAACAUGGAUGGUCCAUAAUUUCAUUUUGGAACCCAUAAGGAAGUAUUUGGGGGUCCAUCCCUACCUCAAAACGCACUUUGGAACCCUUGGUACCUCAUUCACAAAAUUUGGUACAUCCGAUCUUAUUGCUUCUAGGACCACCAUCUGAAUAUGGAUGGUCCAUAAUUUCAUUUAGAAACCCAUGAGAAAGCUAUUGGGGGUCGAUCCCCACCUCGAAACACACUUUGGAACCCUUGGUACAUCCUUCACAAAAUUUGGUACAUCCUUAAUUAAAUUUGGUACAUUCGAUCAUAUCGCUUCCGGGAUCCCUAUCUGAAUAUGAAUGGUCCAUAAUUUCAUUUAGAAACCCAUAAGAAAGUGAUUGGGGGUCGAUCCCCACCUUGGAACGCAAUUUGGAAGCCUUCGUACAUCCUUCACAAAAUUUGGUACAUCCUUCAUUAAAUUUGGUACAUCCUUUAUUAAAUUUGGUACAUCCGAUUCUAUCACUUCCGGGACCCCCAUUCGAACAUGGAUGGUCCAUAAUUUCAUUUUGGAACCCAUAAGGAAGUAUUUGGGGGUCCAUCCCUACCUCGAAACGCACUUUGGAACUCUUGGUACCUCAUUCACAAAAUUUGGUACAUCUGAUCCUAUCGCUUCUGGGACCACCAUCUGAAUAUGGAUGGUCCAUAAUUUCAUUUAGAAACCCAUGAGAAAGCUACUGGGGGUCGAUCCCCACCUCGAAACACACUUUGGAACCCUUGGUACAUCCUUCACAAAAUUUGGUACAUCCUUAAUUAAAUUUGGUACAUUCGAUCCUAUCGCUUUCGGGAUCCCUAUCUGAAUAUGAAUGGUCCAUAAUUUCAUUUAGAAACCCAUAAGAAAGUGAUUGGGGGCCGAUCCCCACCUCGGAACGCAAUUUGGAAGCCUUCGUACAUCCUUCACAAAAUUUGGUACAUCCUUAAUUAAAUUUGGUACAUCCUUCAUUAAAUUUGGUACAUCCUUUAUUAAAUUUGGUACAUCCGAUCCUAUCGCUUUUGGGACCACCAUCUGAACAUGGAUGGUCCAUAAUUUCAUUUAGAAACCCAUGAGAAAGCUAUUGGGGGUCGAUCCCCACCUCGAAACGCACUUUGAAACCCUUGGUACAUCCUUCAUAAAAUUUGGUACAUCCUUAAUUAAAUUUGGUACAUCCUUAAUUAAAUUUGGUACAUCCUUCAUUAAAUUUGGUACAUCUGAUCCUAUCACUUCUGGGACCCCCAUCUGAAUAUGGAUAGUCCAUAAUUUCAUUUUGGAACCAAUAAGGAAGUGUUUGGGGGCCGAUCCCCACCUCGGAACGCAUUUUCGAACCCUUGGUACAUCCUUCACAAAAUUUGGUACAUCCGAUCCUAUCGCUUCCGAGACCCCCAUCUGAACAUGGAUGGUCCAUAAUUUCAUUUAGAAACCCAUAAGAAAGUGAUUGGGGGUUGAUCCCUACCUCAAAACGCACUUUGGAACCCUUGGUAUAUCCUUCACAAAAUUUGGUACAUUCGAUCCUAUUGCUUCUGGCUUCCCCAUCUGAACAUGAAUGAUCCAUGAUUUCAUUUUGGAACCCAUAAGGACGUGAUUGGGGGUUGAUCCCCACCUCGGAACGCAUUUUGGAACCGUUGGUACAUCCUUCACAAAAUUUGAUAUUAUUAAAUUUGGUAUAUCUGAUUCUAUUGUUUUCGGGACCCCCAUCUGAACAUGAAUGGUCCAUGAUUUCAUUUUGAAACCCAUAAGGAUGUGAUUGGGGGUUGAUCCCUACCUUGGAACGCUUGGUACAUCCUUCACAAAAUUUGGUACAUCAUUCAUUAAAUUUGGUACAUCCGAUCUCAUUGCUUUCGAGAACCCCAUCUGAACAUAGAUUGCCCAUAAUUUCAUUUAGAAACCCAUAAGAAAGUGAUUGGGGGUCGAUCCCCACCUCGGAACGCACUUUGGAACCCUUGGUACAUCAUGCCCAAAAUUUGGUACAUCCUUCAUAAUGUACCAAAUUUUGUGAAGGAUGUACCAAAUUUUAUAAAUGAUGUACCAAAUUUUGUAAAGGAUAUACCAAUGUUGCCAAAGUUCGUUAUGAGGUGGAGAACGACCUUCAAUAACUUCCUGAGGGUCUCCAAAGGAAAAAAUGGACUAUGGAAAUGGAGAUAAGUGUUUCGUUAGCUCAAGGAUUGGAUGUAUCAAAUUUUCUCAAUUAUGUACCUAGGGUUCCAAAGUCUAUUUCGGAGUAGGGAACGAUCUCCAAUCACUUCCCAAAGAUCCCUAAAGGAAUAAACGGAUCAUGGGUAAUAAGAUAGAGGUUUCAAUAGCUCAAGUAUGUACCAAAUAUUUUUAAGGAUGAACCAAAUUUUUUAAAGGAUGUACCAAAAGUGCCAAAGUUCAUUCCAAUGUGGGGAAUGACCUUCAAUCACUACCUAAGGGUCCUCAAAGGAUAAUAUGGACCAUGGGAAGAUAGAUAGGGGUCUCAAUAGCCCGAGGAUUGGAUGUACCAAAAUUUCUUAACGAUGCACCAAAUUUACUUAAGGAUGUACCUAGAGUUCCAAAGUUCGUUUUGGAGUAGGGAACGACCUCUAAUUACUUCCUAAAGAUCCCUAAAGAAAUAAAACGAACCACGGGUAAUAAUAUAGAGGUCUUGGUAGCUCAUGGAUUGGAUGUACAAAAUUGUUUUAAGGAUGUGCUAAAUUUUAUGAAAUAUAUACCAAAUUUUAUAAAUGAUAUACCAAAUUGUUUUUAGGAUGUACUUUGGGUUCCAAUGUCCGUUUUAGGGUGGGGAAUAACCUCUAAUUCUUUUUCAAGAGUCCCCAAAGGAAUAUAUGAACCAUGAAAAUGAAAAUAGAGGUCUUGGUUCUUCUAAAAAUGGAUAUACCUAGGAUCCCAAAGUUCUUUUUGGGGUGGGCAAAUACCUCCAAUUACUUAUCGAGGGUCCCAAAGGAAUAUAUACACCAUGAUACGUAUGAUAGUGUUUACGGUUCUCCUAAGCAUUAAUUUACCUUUUUUUUUUUUUUUUUAAGGAUGUACUUAUUUUUUAUGAGAUUAAUAUAAAAGGUUAAAUACAUUUUUUUUUUAUGAAAAAUAGAUUUUUUUUAUAUUUUAUUUUAAUUAAAAAUUAAAGAUUUUAACCCAAAAAAAGUUAGAUCCACAAUCAAUUUAAAAUCAUAAGAAAAAUGAUAAAAGCACCAUCACUUAUUGUGAUUUUUAUAUGAUAAAUUUAAAAUGAAAAUUAAAAGAAAAAUAAUGUAAAUAAUAAAAUAGUAUUGCAAUGAUAUUUUUACUUUUACAUGUGAUAGAAUUUACAAAAUAAAUAAAUCUUUUUUUUAGUAUUAAUAUAAAAAAUCUUAUAUCAUAAAGUUCUAAAUAAUAAAAUGGAAUUUUUAAAUUUAAACUUUAAUUUAUAAAAUGUAUUAUUAUAAUUAAUAUUUAAAAUCAUUAUUAUUUGUGGGACAAUAUUUUCAUUUUUGUCCAUUAUAUAUUUUGUUUUUAUUUAAUUUGUUAUAUUAAUUAUUUAUUAUAUAUUAUCAUUUUAAGUUUAAUAUGUUAAAAAAAUAAUUAAAAUCAAUAAAUAUAGAUAAAUUAGAGAGUAAAAAUAAAUUAAAAUUAAAGAAGUUUUAUGAGAAAAUGCACGAGCGUGUUAAAAAGAAUAUAAAGGAAAAAAGAAAAGAAAAAUAAUAAUAAAACCUAUAAUAGGUGACAAUGGAUUAUGGUGGCAGAAUAGGAAAAAAAGAAGAAAAAAGUAAAAAGUGGAAACGUGACAAAUGGUAAGGGAUAUUUAUUGAUUUGAGAAAAAUAAUAAAAAAUAAAUGACACAUGUACUUGUUAAUAGGUGGUAUUAAAUAGUUGUGUACUUUGUCCUUUACUUUUGAGGGUAAUUGUGGAAUAAAUUUGAAAGCACUAUUGGAGUGCAUGAAUAGACAAUAUUUUUUUUCCAUUUUACACCAAAAUUAAAAAGAAAAAAGUGAAGUUUCAAAUUCUCAUAUUUUUUGUAAUUGGUGUAUGGUUAGAUGAUUUUCCCUAUAAUUAAACGAGUGAAAAUUCUUUGUUUGUGAAUAGAAAUUGACUUAAUACUUUUUGAAUAAAAUUAUAGAACUCUAUUUUUAAUAAAAAUAAUCAAAAUCAAUUUCUUUGUAAAUAAAAUCAAAUUAGAAUAUUUUUUGUAAAUAAAUUUGUACAUUUAAAAAAAAAAAUUUCAAAAAAUUCAUUUUUUUUUAAAAUAAAAAUAAAUUUGAUUUGGAAUGUUUCUUGAAAAUAAAUUUGUAAAUAUUUUUUUAAUUUUGUAGUGAAUCACUUCUCUUAAAUAAAAUUUGAAAUAAAAUAUAUUCUUGAAAAUAAAAAUGGUAAAAAAUCAUUUUGGUAAAAGUAAAUAAAAUAAAUAAAAAUCAUCUCCUUGUAAAUAAAAUCAAAUUUACAUUUGUCUCUCUAAAUGAAAUUGUACUUAAUAACUUCUUUUAAUAAAAACAAGAAACAGUCUUUCAAAAUAAAUUUAAAUCUAAAUAAAAUAAAAUAUUUUGAUAAAUAAAUGGAAGCUUUGUGAAUAAUCAAGUUGGUUUUUAAUAUGAAAAAAAAUCUUUCAAAAUUUCUUAAAAUUGUAUUAUGAUAUUUGAAAUAAUAAAGUCUUUAUAAUAUAUUUGUGUAAUUCACUUUUAUCAUUGUUUUGAUGUACUUUUUUUUUAUUCUUCUGUGGUAUCCAUGAUUUACAAACUAAUUGCCAUACUCCACACUUGCUUACUAGAAAGGUCUUUUUCUUAGGGCUUAGAAGGGUGUUAUGACUUAUCAUCAUAACUUCUGGAUGGGUAACCUGAUCUCUAAAUCCGUUUUUGAUUUAUAGACUUGUCUUUUUUCCAAAUAAGAAAUCACAUAAAGUUUUCUUUCUUAUUUUGUUUUCUUUUUUUAAAAAUAAAGUAAAAUAAAUGACAACUCCAAUUUUUCAAAAAUCAUUUUUUCACAAUAAAAAUUGAGUCAUGACAUUGAGUGGGAACAUAUAUGAAAAAUACAAGUCCAUAAAUGCAUAAAAAAAUGAUAUUAAUUGAUUGACAUAACUUAAUAAUUUUUUCCAUAUAAAUCUUAGGAAAAAUAAUAAUAAUUUAUUUGUCACAAAAUAAUAAAAAAAAAGAACUAAGUUUUCAAAAAUGUCUUGCACCACAUAAUUCUAUUAUUGAUGUUUUUAAUAAUUUUUGUGCAAGAGUUGUUAGAUUUCUUUAUUUUCCAUUAUCACCCAAGACACAAAAAACAUGAUAUAUAUAUAUAUAUAUAUAUAUAUAUAUAUAUAUAUAUAUAUAUAUAUAUAUAUAUGUAUGUAUGUAUGUAUAUAUAUAAAGCAUUCAAAACAUUCUUUUGAUCUUUGAUCUCUGGAUAGGGAACCAACCUGAAUCCAUUUUAGAUUUUGUUGAAGAUGUAUGGAUCUUCUAAGGUUGUGGAGGGCACCAUCUUUCUUUGAAUUCUCUCUGAUGAUGGGAGCGGGAGAGAACAAGUUCCUUUUGUUUCAAAAUGUUGUUUUCAUACAAGGAACUAACACUUGAAUUUAUACCCUCCUGCCUUAGGGACCAUACCCUUUGGCUAUUGGGCCUCACAAGUCUUAGGCCCAUCAUCUAAGGCCUGUGAUGGCGUUGGGCUCUACACAUAGGUGGCCCAUACUCUUGAUCAAAUAGAAAUCAUAUAUAUAUGGAUAGCUAAAUCCCGACAAUGUUUAAUAUAAUGUAGGUCUAUAUUUAUUCUAUCAAUCUUCCACUUGGACCACAUAUAUUACAAAACAAUGUUCAUGAUAGUACUUUAUUGAGGUCAUCUUUGCUAUCCUAUUCAAAUAUCCUUAAACAAUCCGGUCUACUAAUUAUGCUAACAUAGGAUCAAAGUGGUCUUCGUUAAUCAUAAUUAUAACUAGACUCAUCAAUGAUCACAAUAUUAACAAAAUUAGCAACAUGGAUCAAGUAUGGAUGUGUAGCAUGGAAAUUACAUAGAAUGUGAUCUCUAAUAUGUCUAUUUCCAAUUGGUCCCACUUUAUGACUAAAAAAUAGUCAAAUUCCACUUUCAACACUUGAUGCUAAACUGCUUUUGAAAGUCAUCAUUUCAAUUCAGAAUAUUCAAACACAAUAGUCUUUUAAAAUCAAGGUCUGUACAGAUAACACAACAUAAUAUCACAUCAAGAAAACAAACACAAAAUCUAAAUACAAACUCCCACUAUACUAGCACAUCAUCAAUGGGUACAACACCCAUAUGUGUGACAUGCUCAUGAUAUACUUUGGGUGGCAAACCCUUAGUGAGCGGAUCCGCAAUCAUGGAGUUUGUGCUUAUGUGUUCAAUCGAUACUUGAAGACUCUGAACUCUUUCUUUCACAACCAAGAACUUGAUGUCAAUGUGUUUAGACUUUGAUGAAUUUCGGUUGUUCUUAGAAUACAAUUCUGCGGCCUUAUUAUCACAAUUGAUUCUCAAUGGUUUCUCAAUCCCACCAACAUUUAGCAACUGAGUGAUAAAAUUCCGCAACCAUAUCCCUUGGUUUGAUGCCUUGUAGCAAGCUAUGAAUUCUGCCUCCAUGGUGGAAGAAGCAAUAAGUGUUUGUUUAACACUUUUCCAUGAAAUUGCUCCUCCAACCAACAUGAAGAUGUAGCCUGAAGUGGAUCUCCUACUGUCAAGACAUCCCGCGAAAUCAGAGUCUGAAUAUCCCACGAUCUCUAAAUGACUAGAUCUACGGUAUGUGAGCAUAUAAUCUUUAGUUCUUUGUAAAUACCGCAAAACCCGUUUUGCCUUUUUCCAGUGAUCCAUACCUAGGUUUCUCAAAUAUCUGCCUAACAUUCCAACAAUGUACGCAAUAUCCGGGCGCGUACAAACUUGUGCAUACAUGAGACUUCCUAUUGCCGAGGCAUAGGGAAACCUCUCCAUAUCCUUCUUCUCAAGUUCAUUUUUCGGACAUUGGUGCAAACUAAAUUUAUCGCCUUUUGCCACAGGCGUGUCUCCUAGUGUACAAUUGCUCAUGCCAAAUCUUCUCAACACUUUAUCAAUGUAGGCCUUUUGUGAUAGCCCAAGUAUACCUCUUGAACGAUCCCUAUAGAUCUGUAUACCCAACAUAAAAGAUGCAUCACCAAGGUCCUUCAUAUCAAAUUUACUAGAUAGAAAUCGUUUGGUUUCAUGCAAAAGUCCUACAUCACUACUUGCAAGUAGAAUAUCAUUAACAUAUAGCACCAAUAUAAUGAAUUUUCUCCCACUAAACUUGAGGUAUAUGCAUUGAUCAACGGUGUUCUCCUUAAAACCAAAUGAAGUGAUCACCUGAUCAAACUUUCGGUACCAUUGUCGGGAUGCUUGCUUUAAACCAUAUAUGGACCUUUUUAAUCUGCAUACAAGUUGCUUUGAAUCAUUAGACUCAAAGUUCUCCGAUUGCACCAUGUAUAUUGUUUCAUCAAUGUUACCAUUAAGAAACACAGUUUUAACGUCCAUUUGAUGCAGCUCUAAAUCAUAAUGAGCUAGAAGUGCCAUGAUGAUUCUAAAGGAGUCCUUUGACAAAACCGGUGAAAAUGUCUCCUUAUAAUCAAUGUCUUCCUUUUGAGUGAAACCUUUUGCGACUAGGCGUGCCUUAUACAUAACAAUGUUGCCUUUUGAAUCCCGCUUGGUCUUAAAAAUCCAUUUACAACCAAUCGGUUUUACACCUUCAGGCAACUCUACUAAGUCCCAAACACCAUUGUCUUUUAUUGAUUUCAUCUCAUCCUUCAUGGCUUCUAUCCACUUUUCAGAGUCAAAACUUUGUUUGACUUGGCUACCUGAAAUUGGAUCGUCUUCCAUACCCAUGUCAAACUCAUGUUCUUGGAGAUAUACAACAUAAUCAUCUGAAAUUGUACUUCUUCUUUCUCUAGUGGAUCUCCUUAGUGGCACUUGUACUUGAGGUUCUUGAGUUACCUCUUCAUGAACUUGAAUCAGUUCUAUAACUUGAGUAGGAGGAAUCUCAGGUGUGUCUUGAAUUUCUGUUAUCGACUAUACAUUUUGAAUAGUGUCAUCAAACAUAAUAUAACGAUGUCCAGUCGUAAUAAUAAGAAUACUAACAUAUUCCUCUUCAAAAACCACCUUUCUUAACGGUUCUCUCCCACUUAACUCAACAUCCUCAAUGAACUUAGCAUUGCCCGUUUCAAAGAAGGAUCUACUUGAGGGGUCAUAAAAUUUGAAGCCUUUCGACCUUUCAGAAUACCCUACAAAGUAGUAGCUCACUGUUCUGGAGUCCAAUUUCUUUUCAUUUGGCUUAUAAGGUUUAGCUUCAGCUGGACAACCCUAAACAUGCAAGUGCCUAAUACUAGGUUUCUUGCUAGUCCAUAACUCAUAUGGGGUUUUGGCUACUGCUUUGCUUGGUACUCUAUUCAAAAUGUAAACUGCAGUUUUGAUAGCUUCGCCCCAAAGUGAUUCUGGUAAGGUGGAAUGACUGAUCAUACUUCUUACCAUAUCCUUAAGAGUACGGUUUCACCUUUAUGCUAUACCAUUUUGGCUUGGAGUCCCUGGUAUGGUGUACUGAGGAACGAUACCACACUCCAUCAAAUAUUUGGCGAAUGGCCCUGAACGUUGUUCAUCGGAUUCAUCAUAUCUACCAUAGUAUUCACCUCCACGGUCAGAUCCGACGACCUUUAUUUUCUUGCUUAAUUGGUUCUCAACUUCAGCUUUGAAAUUCUUGAACACAUCCAAUGACUGAGACUUCUCAUGAAUCAAAUAAAGAUAGCCAUAGCGUGAGUAAUCGUCAAUGAAAGUGAUAAAAUAUUGUUGUCCAUUCCAAGGUGUAGGAAAUGGACCACAAAGGUCCGUAUGUAUCAAUUCCAAGACGUCACUGCACCUAUUGGCAUCCUUUUUCCUCAUAUUUGUUUGUUUACCCUUAAUGCACUCUAUAUAGACUUGAAAGUUUGAGAAAUCAAGUGGAUCAAGAAUUCCUUCUAACACAAGCCUUUGAAUUCGUUGAUUUGAAAUAUGACCCAAACGCCUAUGCUAUAACAUUGAUGAAUUCUCAUUCAUUAAUUUUCGCUUAAUGCCAUAAUUACUUGAAUGCAAGGUUUCAUUUCCAUUAGUGACCUUUAUGUUCAAUUUGUAUAAUUUGUCUGUUAGACUACUUGUACCGAUAACGUUUGAAUUUAGAUAAAGACUAACCAUUCCAUUUCUAAAUGAACAACAAUAUCCAAAUUUGUCCAGACAUGAAAUAGAAAUUAAAUUCCGUCUAAACGACGAUACUACAAAAGUCUCUUCCAAAUCCAAAGUAUAUCCAAAGUCUAACUGUAAUAUAAAAAGACCAAUAGCCUUGACUGAAGCCUUGUUGCCAUUUCCCACAUAAAUGUAUCUUUCACCAUCAGUUGGUAUUCGGCUCAUUAGGCAACCUUGCAUAGUGACACUUAUGUGAGUAGUUGCACCCGUAUCUAUCCACCAAUUGUCAGUAGGCACUACAACUAAAUUAAUUUCUAAACAAACAAAGUUGAGAAGUGUACCUUUCUUUUCACGCCAAGCAGCGUAUUUGGUACAUGUCUUCUUCAUAUGACCAGCCCUUUUGUAAAAGAAACAAGUGAUUUCCUUAUCUUGUUUCUUCUGCACCUUUUGCUUUGAUGUCCUAGAAACUGUAGUUUGUUUUCCUUUAUUGUCCCUCUUUCUUUUCUUGUUAGUACCAAAUCCCUAAGAUGUGGAAGCCAAGUGAGCACUUUCUAUCUUCUCUUGUUUCAAUCUCUCUUCCUUUUGUACACACUAAGCAAUAAGCUCAUUCAAAGUCCAUUUUUCCUUUUAUGUGUUAUAACUGAUUUUGAAUGGACUAAAUUGUGUAGGCAGAGAGAUCAAGACCAAGUGCACGAGUAUGUCUUCCGAAAACUCUAACUUUAGUGCCUUGAGUCUAGUCACAAGAUUAGACAUUUCCAUAAUGUACUCCCUUAUAUUCUCUUUCCCUUUAUACCGUAUAGAGACAAGCUUACUAAGAAUAGUGUUUGUCUCAACCUUUUCGUUUGCAGCGAAUCGUUUUGCUAUUUGGUCCAAGAAUGCCUUGGCUCAGGUUUCCUCAGGUAUUCACCCCUUAUAACUUCUGGAAUUGAGUGCUUCAUUAUCAUUAGACUCAUAUGAUUGGAUUGCUCCCAUUUUUCCAUAGUAGACCUUUGCUCAGUAGUACUGGCACUAGUAAGAUCUGAAAGGCGAUCCUCUCUUAAUGAAUAGUCUAAAUCCAUGCACCCGAGCACAAUUAUAACAUGCUCCUUCCAUUUCUUGAAGUUUGUUCCAUUAAGCACAAGAAUGUUAUUGACAUUUGCAGAUAUAGAAGAUGCUAAAUUCAUAAUAAUAUAGCUCACAAUCAGUUAUAUAAUCAUCACACAUACAUGAAUAAAUAAAAAUUUAACAUAUAUAUGUAUAUGCAUGUGGACAUAUAACAAUAUACCUAACACAAACAUCAAUAUUCAGUCUUUGGACAUAAAUAUCAACUUGUAAUUGGCAUCAUUUUCAAUAUUAAUUUAUAAAUAUUGACAAUAAAACCAAAAACAAUAUGUUUGUCUUUGGACUAACAUACUGAAUACAAGAUAAACUUUAUAUGUCACAUAUUUAUGAUUACUUUAUUUAUUAUUAUAUUAAAAUAAUCUUCCUUUGGGUCGAUUAUUUUAAAUAAUAAUAAUAAUAAUAACAUGUUUAGAUAUUAUAAAAUAAAAAUAAACAAAUUAUAUAAUAUAAGUUACUUUGGCAACUGAUAUACAUAAUUUAUUUAUUUUAAAAUAUUAAACACAAACAUAACAAGAAAUAAUAAAUUUCCAAAAAGAAUACAGAAAUUCAUCAGAAUCAUAAUUUUUAUAUACAGAAUCAUUAACAAACAUAAUGGUUCUAUAGUUCAGUUGGUUGAGCACAAGGCUUUCAACCUUGUGGUCAUGGGUUCAAGCUUCCAUAGUGAGCGUUUUUUUUUUAUUCCUUUUUCACUGGGCUUGACAUUUAUGGUACAGAAUCAUCAAGAAACAUAAUGGUUCUGUAGCUCAGUUGGUUGAGCACAAGGCUUUCAACCAAUGUUUUAAAAACCAGACCGGACCGGUCGGUCCAACCGGUUCAAUCGUCGACCGCUCACCAAUCCGGUCCGGUUUGCCUUAUCAAACCGUUUAGACAUUGAACCGAUCAUGAACCACCUAAAUCAGCGGUCGGAUCGGUGAACCGAUGGAACCGGACAGUUCUAAAUGAACCGAUCGGUUCAAAUUGGCCCAUCAUUUUGCAAGCAGAAGACCCCAUCAUAUAAAAACUAAACAAAACACCAUACUGGACCAUGACAAAAAACCAUACUGGGCCUAGCUUAGUGACAAAGCCCACACCCACUCAAUUGUUUUAAGCAGGCUGAAUCUUUGAGCCCACAAGAUGGGAUAGUGUUGUUGCUUUCAACGAGGAUACCUUUUAUAGGCAUCCUUUGCACCCUUAUUUCUCUCAAAUUUCGAUGUGGGAUUGCAAACUAGUAUUAAUGAAAAAAAACUAACAACUUCAGCCAAGAGGAUUUGAAGCUGGGACCUUACGUUUGGAAGUAAACUUGACACCACUCGGCUACAAGCUAUUUGAUAUUUGAUUUUCCAAACAAAAUAAUAUAUAUUUGAUUUUAAAUUUUUUUAUAAUAUUAAAUAAAAAUAAUAUGAUAUUUUUAAAAAUUAUAAAAUUAGCUAAAAUUUUCAUUUUUAAUAUAUUCACAUUUAAAUAUUAUACACAUUUCAUUUAAUAAAAUUUAAAAUAUUAAUUUGAUAUAUUCAUAUAUAUUUUAAAAUUUUUAUAAUUAUUUUUAAUUUUAAUAAUAUAUAAAUUACAUAUUUAUGACGUCACCGGUUCGACCGCGGUUCGACCACCAGUUCGACCGGUGAACCGUGAACCAGUAACUUUUCUAGUUCAAUGACCGGUCUGGUUCUGAAAACAUUGCUUUCAACCUUGUGCUCAUGUGUUCGAGCUUCCUUAGUGGGCAUUUUUUUUUAUUCUUUUUUUUUUUACUGGGCUUGGACAAAUCACACGUAUUUGUGCUUUCCAUAUAUAUAUAUAUAUUAAAGCAUGAAUAGUGCACGAACGGCGCACCAGUGACGCUCGAAUUGCACACCAACGGAGCAUGAAUGAUGACUUGUAGCCCCAAAAAAUGGCGUUUCCAAUGGCGCCUCCAAAGGCGCCUUAAACGACGCCUGAAAUGACGCUUCUGGAGCACUUGAAAACGGUGCUUCUAGACCGCCUGAACGGCGUCGUUAAAGAACCUGAAUGGCGCUUAAAAAAUGGCGCCUUAACGACUUCGAAAUGACGCUUGAGAACAGCGCCUGCAACACAGUUUGGAACAGCCUCUAAAGGGCGCUUGGAGUGCGCCUGGAAUAGCCUUUGAAGGGUGCCUGGAUUGGCGUCUGAAGCGGUCUUGUUGCGUGCCUUGAAUGGCGCCUGAACGACGCCUCAAAUGGUGACUUUUGAAUGCCUAAAAAAGGCGCCAGAAUGACACCUAAACUGCAUCCAUUUUGAACGCCGUCUUAACGGCGCCUGAAAUGGUGCUGAAUGGCACCUAGAAUUAGCCUAGAUUUAUUUUCUGUUGUUUCUGUAUUAAUAAGUGUUUUGGUGAAAAUGGGAGGCUCUGAUACCAAUUGUUAGAUUUAUUUAUUUUCCAUUAUCACUCAAGACACAAAAAAACAUGAUAUAUAUAUAUAUAUAUAUAUAUAUAUAUAUAUAUAUAUAUAUAUAUAUAUAUGUAUAUCAAACAUUCAAAACAUUCUUUUGAUCUUUGAUCUUUGGAUAAGGAACCAACUUGAAUCCAUUUUAGAUUUUGUUGAAGAUGUAUGGAUCUUCUAAGGCUGUGGAGGGCACCACUUUUCUUUGAAUUCUCUCUGAUGAUGGGAGCGGGAGAGAACAAGUUUCUUUUGUUUCAAAACGUUGUUCUCAUAUAAGAAACUGACACUUGGAUUUAUACCCUCUUGCCUCAGGGACCAUACCCUUUGGCUAUUGGGCCUCACGAGUCUUAAGCCCAUCAUCUAAGGCCCGUGAUGGCAUUGGGCUCUACACAUAGAUGGCCCAUACUCUUGAUCAAAUAGAAAUCAUAUAUAUAUGGAUAGCUAAAUCCCGACAAUGUUUAAUAUAAUGUAGGUCUAUAUUUAUUCUAUCAAGAGUGUCAUAGAAAAUCAUUUUUACAAAGUUGCCCUAAUUUUUUUUUAUAUAAUUUUUCACGCCUCAAAAAUAAUUAUUACAAUAAUAAUUUGCUUAAAUAAAAUACAUGAAAAAUAAAUUAAAAAAUCAUAAAAUAAUCCCUAUUAUGAAUAUUCACUAAUAUUUUUAGGAAUAUUAAAAUAUAUAGAUAAUAAAUUUUACACUGAAUUUUUUUUAAUUAACUAAAUUGAAUAAUUAAUAAAUUAAUACAAAAUUAAAUACAAACAACUCAGAAAAAUAUAAGAGGUCAUGCAAAAAAUAAAAUAACUAUAAAAUAUUUUUUGUUUCCAAUAGAAAAAAUAGAAAAAAAAAAAAGCUAGAAAAUUAAGAAAAAUGAGAGGAGUUCUCACUCUUGGCUAAUUUUGUUUUCAUGCUCUCAAGAUUCCAUUAAACUAUUUGCUUUUCCGUUUUGACAUCUUGAAGUUUGUUAAUCAAAUCAUGCACACACGAAUAUAAAAUAAAGAAAAAAUGCAAAAGUUUUAAUGUGGUUCAACGAUUAAUGUGAUUCCUAUGCUUAUGGAGUGCACCAACACUUAAUAAUCCACUAAUCAUAAAAAAUAAGAAGAAUUAUAGUGGUAAAACUUUCAAAAAAACCCUCUUAAUUGUGGUCACACUUUCUAAAAAACAAAAUCCUAAACAUAGAAGGGUUAAAUAUAUAAUGGGGACAAACUUGUCAUCAUUAAAAAAAAAAAAAAAAAAUCUCCAAGAGGUGUUGCCCCCUUCAACUAGCUAACCAAAUAACUCGACUUUUGACAUUCUAAGCAAAAUGCAACAAAACUAAUUUAGGUUUCACAAUCUAAUAAAGUUCAUGUUUGAAAAUCACUUUCUACAUUGAGAUUGAAGUCGUAACUUUGAGGAAAAAAAAAUCAUAUUUUUUUAAUUGUUUUACAUGAAUGUUUUAAAAAAUCACAUCUUUUAUCAAUUUUUGUCAAUAAAAUUAUAAGGGAAUGUCGUUUUAAAUCACUUUUAAAUAUAUUUCAGAAGGGAUCUAAUGUGUAAUUAAAGUUGUUUCAUUUUUUAUAAAUAUAAAUAAAUAAAGUUUGCAUAAUAUGCAUAGUGAUGCAUGGUAAUAACAUCUGAGUAGUGUUUGUGCCCCGAAGCCAAUGUUGAAAAAAAAUAUAAUAAUUGAUUAAAAAUGAUGAAAUAAUCCUUAUAUUUGUGAAUUUAUCCCCUUCCAUGCUUUUGUCUAAAGAGUAACUCAUUUUUUUUUUUUAUAUAAAUGUCAUUCUAUAUUUUGAAAGAAAUGGUUAUUUUUACAAGAAAACAAAAAAUGUACUUUUGUCAAAAUAAGGUUGAAAAAGGAUGAAAUGUUAGAUUUCUAAAAUUGGAUUUCCAAUGAUCCUCUUAAUCAAAUUGCCCAAAAAAAAAAUAAUUAAAUUUUGUUUUUUUAAUGGGUGAAGAUAUAAAUCCAAAAAAAAAAAAUCAAUUCAAAAACACUUUUACACUAUUAGCAAUAAUAAUAAUAAUAAUAAUAAUAAUAAUAAUUAAUAAAUAUAGAACAAUAAAAAUAAUAGUGCAAGACGUAUAUCUCCUUUUAUCCUCACUCUUUUGUAUUUUUGUUAAUCAAACCAUGCAUACACAUGAAUAGAAAAAAAAAAAAAACAUAAAAUUUUCGAUGUGAUCCCUAUAUUUACAGAGUGCAUGAAUACUUAAUCAAAGAAAAGAGGAGUACAAUGAUGAAGUUCUAAAACAAACUUGUCAUACUACUUUUUGUGCUUUGAAGCCAAUUAUAUAUAUAUAUAUAUAUAUAUAUAUAAAUCAAAAAGUAUAAUUCAUAUAUAUUUUUUCAUUAUUAGAAAUAAUAAUAAUUAAUAAAUAUAGAACCACCUAGAUCUCCCUUCAUCCUCUCUUUUUUGUAUUUUUACUUCUUACUCUUCCUUUUUCUUUUUCAUUCUUUAUUCUUUAACCAAUCUCUAGAAAAAGCUUUAUCACUAGGGAGAGCUUUAUCUUUCCAAGCUUUUAGUGUAUCUGGAACAAAAGAAGAAAUCAUCUCUCUUUAGUCCUUAGUCUUGAAGUCAGCACAGGGCAAAGAAUAUGGGUGCCUUAUAAUCUUUUAUAAAGAACAAAGAAUAAUUGUUCUUUAUAAAUUAGAAAGAAAACUCUCACAGGUUUCAUCACUUUUACUCUCUCUCUCUCUCUCUCUCUCACCAGUUUCAUAUAUACUGAGAGAUCUCACCACUUUUUUUCCUGCACCAGUUUCUUAUCAGCUUCAGGUAAAUCCAUUUUUAUUUUCACUUCUUUCUUUAAUGUUGAAUUUUAGUUGAUAUUUACAUAAGAGCUAGCCAUGAUGGUCAAUUUUUUCAUGUUGAGUUAUCUAUAGAUGAGGUUCAAGCAUCAAUGCACCAACCUUAUCAUCUUUAAAAAGAUGUAAAAGAGAAACAAUUUUUUUUUUUUAAAGUAAAACAGUCUCAAAAAUCAAAGCAAAUAUUUUAACUAAAUAAUAAAAAAAAAUUAAUUAACAACAACAAGAAAAUGCCACAAAGAAUUGGCUUUGAUGAUCCAUUUAUGAUUGGAUUGGAUAGGAGUGGUGACAUUUUAGUUUUUUUUUUUUUUUUUUUUUAAACAGUACCAAAUAUAUGAUGCUCUAUUAACAUGCUUAUGUUCUAAUAAAAUUGCUUCAAGUGUCCAUUAUAUGCUUAAUUAUUUAAUUAGUAGUGACAUCAAAUUAAAAGUGCGUUUAACAAUAUUCUUACUUGAAGUAUUUUAUCCAAAGUGUUUUUAGGAGAAUCAUUUCCUAAAUUUUAUUAAACACCAAAUUGUUUUUCUUUAAAAAAACUUUUCAUGCUAAAACGUUUUUAAAAUCACUGUGAAAUAGACUCUAAAUCAAUCACUUUUGUCUAAUCUUGUGAGUAUGGAUGGUAGCUCUCAUGGCUGCAACCGACGUGGCAGUGCAUUUAUACUGGAAUGGAAGAGUGAAAACCAAAAAAUAUGAUGUUGUUUAUGAAGGUGGCGACAUGAAUGUGAUGCCUAUUAAGCUCAACCAUGGAACUACGUAUUUUGGAUUGUUGGAUAAAAUCUACGCAACUACAGGCAUAAAGAGGACGGAUUUUGAGUUGAACAUCAUAUGCAGAUACCCUAUAUCUUCAAGGGAAUAUAAGCCCAUCCCAAUAAAGAAUGACGAGGCCGUAGACCUCAUGUUGAAAGUGCCAUGCAGAUCAUUUCGAGUCUACUGUGUGGAGAUAUAUUUGGAGGCAACGCGUUGUGUGAAAUCUCUUCUCCGGGAAUCUGCUCAAAUGUGGGAAUCUGAGUGUUAGGAUAUAGUAAUUUUAUUGUGUUGAAUUGGCUUAUAUAUCAAAUCAGUCAGUGUUCAGGGAUUGAAUUAAGUUUGGUAUGGCAUGAUAAUAUGUGAUCUAGUUUGUAUAAUUCUAUUUUUUUUCUCUCAUUUUGUAUAUUAAUAACCAUAUUCAAGAAAAAAUUUAUAAUUUUUGUUUAUUUUCUCUUUUUG